rnacentral:misc_RNA from 1 species
GUGAAUCAUCGAAUCUUUGAACGCAAAUUGCCCUUUCUGGUAUUCCGGAAAGUAUGCCUGUUUGAGGGUCAUUUAAAUUAAAAUCGGUGUUGUUGCUACCCGUAGUUGUGUGUGAUCCAUCGGUAUUCAGUCCUUCUUUACCUUUGGUUUAAGUGCCUUAAAAUUAUGUUCGAUUUUUGAACGUCUUUAACUUAUUACUUACGUUCGUAAUACCCCAUAUUACGUGCGUUCAUUCACAUGAUUCCGCGUCUAUAAUUUU